GCAAAAUGUCACCAUCAAUAUCACAAAAAAAAAACUGAGUGAAUCAAAAACCUUGUCAGCGUCACGUACUCCAUUGCGAUUAUCACAGGUGAAAUUCUCAAGUGGUUGUAACGAGUGAUAUGAUUGGUGACAAUUUGGGAAUAAACUUUUAGUCAAUCACUGUUAUGAAAUUUUCUGGACCAGGAGCAGCACUGUAAAAUAUCACUGUUUCAGUCACCAACGCUCAUAACUGAAACGAACCUCAAAUCAGCUCACGUACACAAGUGCGAUGAUCAGACGCAAGAUGAACAUAGUCGUUGUGACGUGUGACCAGAUUGGUGACAUUGCAGCAACCACCUCUUGGUCGGUCACUUUGACGUGACUUUGUUUGUCUGUGAUCAAUUUCGAAAUGUCACUGGUUCUAUCACGAGCACUCGUGAUUGAAAUGAAAUUCAUUUCGGUUCACGUACACAUGUGCGAUGAUCAGGGGUAAGACGCACAUGGUCGUUGUGACGUCUGAUCUGAUUGGUGAUAUUUUGGUAACCAACUCCUGGUCAAUCAGUUUGUCGUGAUUUUUUGGUAUUUUAUUAUCGCGAUAGACUUAGAAUAUACGUGGCGCGGGCGAGUGGUGUUUUUUUAACCAUGUGCAUAUGAUUACAAGCAGUAGUCGGUUCUGCUAGCUGGUUAAAUGAUCCCGCAUCCUACAUAUAUUGCCAGACUCAUUUUGCUGAUCCAAACGUUUAUGUAUGAACUCUCGUAAGCAGUGCACAUGCAAGGAUGCCGCGAGCGUUGCCUUUCUGUGAAAAAUUCACAAACCCGCGACAAUCACGGUUGCCUCUGAUUUAGUUCUAAAACUGAGAAGUUGUUUUAGAACAAAGAUCUCGCAAAAAAUUGUCGCGGAAGAUUUUGUGGGUCGUCUAGAAGCAGUGUGACAGAAAGUAGCCCAAUUUUGCAAACAGAGCUACUUGCCUAGCGCAAUAAUUCUGCUGCACCAAAUAGAAUCAAAUUAUCCAGUUUGUUCCAGCCAGAUUAAUGCCAAGCUAAAAGAAAAAUAAAAUUGAGCACAAUUUAACUUGUUUUUUAUGUUUUUUUUUAACAAAAAACAAGCAGGUUGACUGGGUAAACUGAGCUACUUUGAUCUACUCGGUGUCAAAUUUAUCAAUGCAAUUCACCAAAAACGUGAGCGAAAUUGUCGCAAAAAACGUUGUCGCUUUAAGUCUAUUUAAACGAUUACGGGUUUCAAUCAUAAUAUGCCAUUGUAUUAAGUCACUAAUAUUAAAAUGUGUCGUACAAAUUUGGAAAUUAAAAAACAGGCUAUGAGCAGCCUGGUAUCCAUACACCUUGGGCUUGGAGAACGAUUGUUGUUGAUGUGUGUUUAAUAUUUACAUUUCAAGAGGCAUAGCAAGCGGAAACGGUUUGGUUUGUUAUUCGAAGAUAGGAGAUAAAAUUGCAAACGGUUCGUGUUUCAUACCAUUUAACAUAUCAGCAAGUCGAAGCACACGUAGAAUGGGAUCGAAGUAACGGCUUCACAUUUUGGAACCAUACACCAGCGUUGGAUGCUGGUGUCAUACUUAGCACUCAUACUUAAUUCAUGGAACGGUUUAUAAUGUAAUAAGCUCGCGUGAAGUUUUUCCAGCUUAGUUAGAUUGCGUUUCAACAGCUUCUACCGUGUGAUGUAGCUGUUUCUCCGAGUGUUGCCGGUUUCAAAGGAUACCCGCUCGCUGUCGGUUACUAACCAACGCUGGAUGUAUACAGGAGUGCAUUGCCACGAUUACGACGGUGCAGGCCAUUUGACGUGCCGGCUGAUUCUCUGACCGAUCCAGUUUUGACUACCACAUUUGCUCGCUUUGAUGUCACCAUGCUGUUGCAUGCCAUCGCCGAGAUAAGCAUCUACUUGGCUGUGAAUCCACUGGAUUCGAUAUCGCGUAUAAUGAACCCAAUACAUCACCGACGCUGAGCAUUAUAACAUUUACCGUGGCGUGCAGCGGAUUCUGUCGAACUACAGGACGCUCCAGGAAAUAAUUCCCAUCCUGACAAUGAAUGAGCUGUUCGUAGUGUUGCACAUAGUGCAUUGUGCUAGCCCUUUUCGCACAGUUUGGUCUACGAGAACGGUGCGCUUUUUGUGCUCUUAACGUGCUAUGCGCUUUGAGUUUUUGACCCUGUCCGCUCUUUGAGUACUUGAGGUUUGGUCUCCAUUUUUUCCACGUCCACGUAAAACUUUCCGCACAGUCGCGUACUUUAAGCGCUGUGUUGUAAUGCGCGCAUAAUAUGAUGUGCUGUGCGCAUGAUGCGCCGUUUCUAGCGUUUCGAAUUACAGGCGUUUCAGGUCACAGAAGUGUUCACGGGCUAUGCCGGCAAGCUGGUGAACAAAGAGAACAUUAUCAAGGUUUACACCAUGCUCAUGAACGGCAAACUCGACCAACUGACGGAGAUUGCCUUUUGGUCAUGGUCGGUACGAUCGAGAAUUUUGGCAAAACGAAGUAAAGCGUCUGGCCAAGGAACCGGCCUAAGAAUCCGGUCGACUCAAAAAGAUAAAGUAGGCAGUUUUCCAGUAGUUGCGUCGGCGUUCGAAUUCGGUUGGAAAACGAUCAAGCAGAGCUCCUCGGGUGUGAACUCACUUCAGCGGCACCUCCUCAUUCACUGUGCUGUUAGUGUAAUAAUUUUAAUCGAAUCGAUGAUAUUCUUAGCAUACGAGGCGUGUAAUUUGUUAGUUUCUCCAUAGUGCAAAUAUAAAAAGAUGUUUUGUAGAUGGAUGAAAA